UGGGGUGUAGCUCAAUGGUAGAGCACUUGCCUGGCAUGCACAAAGCCCAGGGUUUGAUCCCUAGCAUCACAA
rnacentral:tRNA from 1 species